AUCCACGGUGAAUCCGACGGACAUUCUGCUAUACGUAAUUGUUGCACAUCGAGUAUUCUUCGACGUAUAUUUUUAUUUUGCUUCUCUUGUGCCUUUAUAUCCAUUUCUUACGCGCUAUAGAAACUGAUUAUUCGAUUUAAUUCAACCGUUUAACUCCCGUCGGUAAUAUUUCGAUGAACAUGCGCGCUAAAGACCUGCAGAUGCCGCACUCAAUACCAAACUGCAAUGCGCAGUCUCAAGCUUGCAUUAGAAUAGUUUCGUUCAAGUAACAUUUAUAAAUCAUUUCACUAUCUGCGUUAGGUCCUCUUCUAGCCUUUCUCCUAAACUCUUCCGCUUUGUACGCGUCUAUAAUUUCCUGCUGACGAACCUGGGUAUCAACGUGAACAACAUCAGGUUUUUUACGAUACCUGGUUACAGCUGCGGGAGGAGAGAAUUCAAUCUCCAUAUCAGACGCCGUCGAGCUAGACGUGAUAGAAGCAUCGUCCUUGUUCUUCACGAUUUUAAACUGCAGCGGUUUCAUUGGCUCGGACAAACGAGGCUCGGCAGAUGUCUCUUGCCUAAUGGGAUACAUCGUUACAUAGACAAAUGCAACCAGGAGUCCCCCCAGUCGACGUUAUCCGAGGCGUGCAAGCGUCGAAGAUGGGAAUUACAUCGUUAUCUCGAGAAGUUGCUUGUGCCGAAACCAUAACCGGGCCACCGGAACAGCUGCAGUUGGACAUAUCUCUAUCCUCGCCGCCACCUUCUAGUCGACUUUCCAUAUUAUGCUUUUCAUUGUACCAGGGAUGAUCAGUAUCGUAAUUGAUCCAUCUGAAACUAGACGGAUCCAGAUAAAUCUGCUCUACUUCUCCGCCGCCUUUCAAUCUAGUUGGUUUACUAGACGAAGAAUCCUGUUUCAGAACGUACAACGCAGGCAGGGUAUUGUCAACGCA
rnacentral:misc_RNA from 1 species